CUUGUUGUACCGAGCGGUUAAGGCGCUGGACUUGAAAUCCAUUGGGGUUUUCCCGCACAGGUUCAAAUCCUGUCAACGAUG